rnacentral:lncRNA from 1 species
GAGUGCUGAAAUCCUAUUUAUAUAGCUGCAAAUUAAUUAAUUCAAACAUACAGAACUGUCACCAAUUUAUUAAAUAAUUUAGGAACUUAUAUGUACAUAAAAUGUAAUAGUUUUUUUCAAAUAUGAAGUAUCUAUAUUAAACUUUUUUCACUAUCAAAAAAAAUUGAAAAAUUAUGCCAUAUAAUUCAAGUAUAAUAUAGCAUUUGAAAUCAGUUAGCUGAUCACAAUGCCAUCACAUUGGUGUGACUGUGACAUCAUCCUAAACUUGGACACAACUCUGAAGGAUUUAAAUGAAAGCAUUUUCAUUCCCACCCCAAAAUGCCCCUACCCCUGGGGUGAUCUUGAUCAGGGUAGUCUGUUAUUCAUGGGGUCAAGAAAAGUCUCUGUGGCAGCUAUCUUUCUAUAGUCUUUCCAAUAUGACUGACUUUGAAGGUUAUGCACAUGUGGGAAAGUGUCAUGAGAAAAUUGAACCAGAACUGAUAUCUGAAGAGCACUC